UUUGGAUUUGUGCUGCCCUAGGCAUGGCUAAAUUCAGGAACCCCCUAAAGUAAAUUUGCCUCACCAAUUUGUGUGAAGGCCACUUUUUUGAAUGACAUACACUUACUGACAGAUACAGAGUCAUUGGCACACAUACAGCCUUUGGCACACACACUAGUUAACCAACACACACUUUCACUGACAGACACACACUCACAGACACACACAUCCUCACUGAUUUGAGACACUCUGACAGACACAUAAACAUUCACUGACUCACAGACAAACACUGACAGCU